UACGUAGGGUGCAAGCGUUGUCCGGAUUUACUGGGCGUAAAGAGCGUGUAGGCGGCCAGGUAGGUCUGCUGUGAAAACUCGAGGCUCAACCUCGAGACGUCGGCGGAAACCAUCUGGCUAGAGUCCGGAAGAGGAGAGUGGAAUUCCUGGUGUAGCGGUGAAAUGCGCAGAUAUCAGGAAGAACACCCGUGGCGAAGGCGGCUCUCUGGGACGGUACUGACGCUGAGACGCGAAAGCGUGGGGAGCGAACAGG
rnacentral:rRNA from 1 species